rnacentral:rRNA from 1 species
UGGGGAAUUUUGGACAAUGGGGGAAACCCUGAUCCAGCCAUCCCGCGUGUGCGAUGAAGGCCUUCGGGUUGUAAAGCACUUUUGGCAGGAAAGAAACGUCGCGGGUUAAUACCCCGCGAAACUGACGGUACCUGCAGAAUAAGCACCGGCUAACUACGUGCCAGCAGCCGCGGUAAUACGUAGGGUGCAAGCGUUAAUCGGAAUUACUGGGCGUAAAGCGUGCGCAGGCGGUUCGGAAAGAAAGAUGUGAAAUCCCAGAGCUUAACUUUGGAACUGCAUUUUUAACUACCGGGCUAGAGUGUGUCAGAGGGAGGUGGAAUUCCGCGUGUAGCAGUGAAAUGCGUAGAUAUGCGGAGGAACACCGAUGGCGAAGGCAGCCUCCUGGGAUAACACUGACGCUCAUGCACGAAAGCGUGGGGAGCAAACAGGAUUAGAUACCCUGGUAGUCCACGCCCUAAACGAUGUCAACUAGCUGUUGGGGCCUUCGGGCCUUGGUAGCGCAGCUAACGCGUGAAGUUGACCGCCUGGGGGAGUACGGUCGCAAGAUUAAAAACUCAAAGGAA